rnacentral:rRNA from 1 species
AGUGAACGCUGGCGGCGUGCUUAACACAUGCAAGUCGAACGAGAACGGGUUAUAGCUUGCUAUAAUUGUCAGCUAAGUGGCGCACGGGUGAGUAAUGUAUAGGUAAUAUGCCUCUUACUAAGGGAUAACAAAUGGAAACGUUUGCUAAUACCUUAUACUCCUUAUUAACAUAAGUUAAUAAGGGAAAGAUUUAUUGGUAAGAGAUUAGCCUGUAUUGUAUCAGUUAGUUGGUGGGGUAAUGGCUUACCAAGACUAUGACACAUAACUGGUUUGAGAGGAUGAUCAGUCACACUGGAACUGAGACACGGUCCAGACUCCUACGGGAGGCAGCAGUGGGGAAUAUUGCACAAUGGACGAAAGUCUGAUGCAGCAACGCCGCGUGGAGGAUGACACAUUUCGGUGCGUAAACUCCUUUUAUAUGAGAAGAUAAUGACGGUAUUAUAUGAAUAAGCACCGGCUAACUCCGUGCCAGCAGCCGCCGUAAAAC